GCUGGCGGCGUGCCUAAUACAUGCAAGUCGAGCGAACAGAUAAGGAGCUUGCUCCUUUGACGUUAGCGGCGGACGGGUGAGUAACACGUGGGUAACCUACCUAUAAGACUGGAAUAACUCCGGGAAACCGGGGCUAAUGCCGGAUAACAUUUAGAACCGCAUGGUUCUAAAGUGAAAGAUGGUUUUGCUAUCACUUAUAGAUGGACCCGCGCCGUAUUAGCUAGUUGGUAAGGUAACNUCUUACCAAGGCAACGAUACGUAGCCGACCUGAGAGGGUGAUCGGCCACACUGGAACUGAGACACGGUCCAGACUCCUACGGGAGGCAGCAGUAGGGAAUCUUCCGCAAUGGGCGAAAGCCUGACGGAGCAACGCCGCGUGAGUGAUGAAGGUCUUCGGAUCGUAAAACUCUGUUAUUAGGGAAGAACAAAUGUGUAAGUAACUGUGCACGUCUGA
rnacentral:rRNA from 2 species